UACUCACAGCUGGUGACUGGAAUUUCUCCCU
rnacentral:piRNA from 1 species